GAUGAAGAACGGAGCGAAAUGCGAUACGUAGUGUGAAUUGCAGAAUUCAGUGAAUCAUCGAAUCUUUGAACGCACAUUGCACCUCUCGGUAUUCCGGGAGGUAUGCCUGUUCGAGCGUCAUUUGUACCCUCAAGCUCUGCUUGGUGUUGGGUGUUUGUUCCGCCUCUGUGUGUGAACUCGCCUCAAAACAAUUGGCAGCCGGCGUACUUGUUUCGGAGCGCAGCACAUUUUGCGAUCCAGAUCAACGUACAGCGGCAUCCAAGAAGCCUUAUUUAACGCUCUUGACCUCGGAUCAGGCAGGGAUACCCGCUGAACUUAAGCAUAUCAAUAAGCGGAGGA
rnacentral:misc_RNA from 1 species